ensembl:misc_RNA
UAGUGUUCAUCAUGCCAAGCAGAUGGCACCAGGAGAAAUGGAGCCCCUGCCAGUGUGUCGUAGCAGUGACGAGGCAGACCCUGGAGGAGACGGCCUCCACAGUGAAUUCCAGAGGCCUGGGAAGCUCUGCA